GCCUUCGUGGUGUAGCGGUAAGCACGCUCAACGCGGAUUCCAGAGCUCGUGGUUCGAGUCCCGGCGAAGGCU
rnacentral:tRNA from 1 species